ACGAGUUUGUAUCCUGGCUCAGGAUGAACGCUGCGGCGUGCUUAACACAUGCAAGUGAACGGACUCAUAUUGAACCUAGUGAUGUAUGAGUUAGUGGCGGACGGGUGAGUAACGACGUGGAGAACCUACCGUAUACUGGGGGAUAACACUUAGAAAUAGGUGCUAAUACCGCAUAAGCGCACAGCUUCGCAUGAAGCAGUGUGAAAAACUCCGGUGGUAUACGAUGGAUCCGCGUCUGAUUAGCUGGUUGGCGGGGUAAAGGCCCACCAAGGCGACGAUCAGUAGCCGGCCUGAGAGGGUGAACGGCCACAUUGGGACUGAGACACGGCCCAAACUCCUACGGGAGGCAGCAGUGGGGAAUAUUGCACAAUGGGGGAAACCCUGAUGCAGCGACGCCGCGUGAGUGAAGAAGUAUUUCGGUAUGUAAAGCUCUAUCAGCAGGGAAGAAAAUGACGGUACCUGACUAAGAAGCCCCGGCUAACUACGCG
rnacentral:rRNA from 1 species